rnacentral:tRNA from 1 species
GCCUUCGUGGUGUAAUGGUUAGCACAUUAGGCGCGUAUUCGAGAGAUCCGAGGUUCGAGUCCCGGCGAAGGCG